rnacentral:lncRNA from 1 species
UAUUUCCUUUUAUUUGUUGUUGUGAAUUUUACUCAGAAUUAAAGAUAAAUGAUUAGUAAUUACAGGAAAACUAACUUGUAAAAAUCUUAAAGACAUUGAAUGGGUUAAUGUACUGAGCAGCUACGGAAUGCAAGGCACUGUAGGAGUAGGGUGAGUAUACUCCCCACAAGGGCUCAGGGUCAGGCAGGGGAGGUGAGAUAAAAACCCACAGCCAUACACUAGCUGGCCUGUCCUGAGGGUUGUGAGGCACAAAAUGCUAGGAGACUAGAGAAGUAAGAAAUGUCUUGACAUGAGGAGAAAUCAAGGAAAGCAUGGUUUUAGAACAUGUGUGGGAUGUUUUUUGUAUCGAGACUGAAGAGGCUUUUUAAAGUGGAGGGAAGGCAAACUGAGGCAUAGAGAUGCCAAUACCAGGUCUUGUCAGGAAGAACAGAGUCCAAUUUGGCUGCAGGAUAGGGCAUAUGUAGGGGAGGGGAUAAGACUGGCAUGGGGGCAGAGGGGGACUUGAAUGUCAGGUGACAGAGUCAAAGCUUGCACUCAAGUAGGUGAUUGAUAGGUGAUACUAACUCCCCUGAACCUGUCUCA